GUAGUGCUCCCUUCGUUUUAAAAUUAUUGUUUUAAAUUUGUCUACAUAUGAAUGUAUCUAGUCACGUUUUAAUAUUUACGUACAUUUAUUUUUAUAGAUAAACUUAAGACAGUAAUUUUAGAACGGAGGGAGUAAUUU
rfam:Hordeum vulgare subsp. vulgare, WGS project CAJW01000000 data, contig: morex_contig_1576955